CCUGCGGAGGGAUCAUUACCGAGUUUACAACUCCCAAACCCCUGUGAACAUACCACUUGUUGCCUCGGCGGAUCAGCCCGCUCCCGGUAAAACGGGACGGCCCGCCAGAGGACCCCUAAACUCUGUUUCUAUAUGUAACUUCUGAGUAAAACCAUAAAUAAAUCAAAACUUUCAACAACGGAUCUCUUGGUUCUGGCAUCGAUGAAGAACGCAGCAAAAUGCGAUAAGUAAUGUGAAUUGCAGAAUUCAGUGAAUCAUCGAAUCUUUGAACGCACAUUGCGCCCGCCAGUAUUCUGGCGGGCAUGCCUGUUCGAGCGUCAUUUCAACCCUCAAGCACAGCUUGGUGUUGGGACUCGCGUUAAUUCGCGUUCCUCAAAUUGAUUGGCGGUCACGUCGAGCUUCCAUAGCGUAGUAGUAAAACCCUCGUUACUGGUAAUCGUCGCGGCCACGCCGUUAAACCCCAACUUCUGAAUGUUGACCUCGGAUCAGGUAGGAAUACCCGCUGAACUUAAGCAUAUCAAUAAGCGGA
rnacentral:rRNA from 1 species